ACUGCUACCAGCGGCCACUGACGCUAGCAAUGUCUGAGUGAUACUGACGGGGUAGCCUCCCACUUGCUCCACCUUCCAGGAAAGAGGUAAGAAAGUUGCGUUUUACAAACAGAUGAAGUAACUUGCCCACGUGGCUGUUGGUGACAGAGCUGAAACCCUGCCUGCCUGAUGCAAAGGACUAUGCCACAAGCUGCUGUGAUCCAUCCAUUGGGCAGAGACCACCUGAGGUAUCAGGAGUACAAAGUUGAGAAACAAGUAGCUCCAGAUGUUUUACCUCUUUGGAUAAGAAUGUAUAGGGGAAAGGAUCCAGGACCAAAGUGAAGAGGCCCUGAGCCCUGGAACACUCCACCAAUUGAAGGUUUGUGCAGUCUCCGCAGUUCUGUGUGUGAGUGUGUGCACGUGCACGCAUUCUAACUCCACCUGCACUCGCAAAAGACUUAGAGCCAACAUCUGACACUCUGCAGCUGCAAAGGCCUUGCUGACUGAGUCACGUACAGCCCGGCAGAGAAGCAAGGAGCUCUGGAUCCCUUCUCCCUGUGGUGAGGAUGCCAGCUUCCCCAUCUCACCCCUAAGCCCUGCAGCCAACAUCUGGGAAGCAUAAUGUUUUGGAGCUCUUGUUUGUGAUACUUCCUGCUGUGUUCCUGGCACAUCUGAACACACUGAAUUUUUAACUCAGAUCUGAGAACUUGUUUUUGUUGAAUAAUUGCCUUUUCCCCCUUGGUGGUCUUGUGAGUGAUACCCUGGAAUGAAGGGAUUCCUUAUACAUUUUUUAUGGCAUAUUACAUAUGCCCUUUGCUUAAUCUCAGCCCUGCUCUCUGACA